UGUAAUCUGCCACCGGGUAGAGAGUUGCUUAUGCACUCGUUUACACAUCAUUAGGUCUUUGAAGAUGUGUGCGGGUGUUUUUUUUAU
rnacentral:ncRNA from 1 species